CCCCCCCCACACGGGCACAACGAACCCCGGCGCGAACUGCGCCAAGGAACCAAACAAAGAUGUGCGCCCCCUCCGCCUGGAAACAGUUUGGAAGGGGGACGCGUCGUCGUCCAUAUUACAUAUGAAACGACUCUCGGCAACGGAUAUCUCGGCUCUCGCAUCGAUGAAGAACGUAGCGAAAUGCGAUACUUGGUGUGAAUUGCAGAAUCCCGUGAACCAUCGAGUUUUUGAACGCAAGUUGCGCCCGAAGCCGUCAGGCCGAGGGCACGCCUGCCUGGGUGUCACGCAACGUCGCCAACAACCCCCUCACCCCCCCUGCGAAGGGGAUGGCGAGGGGUGGCGGAUAUUGGCCUCCCGUGCGCAGCCGCUCGCGGUUGGCCCAAAUAACAGCCCCUUGGCGAUGGCAGCCACGGCAUGCGGUGGUUGGAAGCACUGGCUCCUUGAACCGCUGUGGGCGAGCCUCGUCGACGGGGAGCAAGAGACCCUGACGCAAGCGUCCCAACAAAGCGACCCCA
rnacentral:rRNA from 1 species